UACGAAGGGGGCUAGCGUUGCUCGGAAUUACUGGGCGUAAAGGGUGCGUAGGCGGGUUUUUAAGUCAGGGGUGAAAUCCUGGAGCUCAACUCCAGAACUGCCUUUGAUACUGAAGAUCUUGAGUUCGGGAGAGGUGAGUGGAACUGCGAGUGUAGAGGUGAAAUUCGUAGAUAUUCGCAAGAACACCAGUGGCGAAGGCGGCUCACUGGCCCGAUACUGACGCUGAGGCACGAAAGCGUGGGGAGCAAACAGG
rnacentral:rRNA from 1 species